UCCAUAGUAGCUUAAACAAAGCAUUUAACUGUUAAUUAAAAAAUACUUACAAAAUCAAGUCUAUAGAG
rnacentral:tRNA from 1 species